CAUUAGGCAAUUAAAAGCAGAAAAAUAGAAGAAUAAAAAUAACAUUUUUCAAGAAACAGAGUUACAAUCGGAAAAGAUUCAUCUGAAAGCACUUGAUGAUUAAGAGAUAAUCCAAUGGUGGUGGUGACCUUGUACAGCAAAAGUGUGAUAACAACUGCAGCUAAACCUCCUCCCAACAGUGCCAAAAAAUUAACUUUUUCUGAUAUGAAUUGGUCAUUGGCGUUAACU
rnacentral:lncRNA from 1 species